UACAGAGGGGGCAAGCGUUAUUCGGAAUUAUUGGGCGUAAAGGGCGCGUAGGCGGAUGGCACAGUCAGAUGUGAAAUUCCCGGGCUUAACCUGGGGGCUGCAUUUGAUACGUGUUGUCUAGAGUGAGGAAGAGGGUUGUGGAAUUCCCAGUGUAGAGGUGAAAUUCGUAGAUAUUCGCAAGAACACCAGUGGCGAAGGCGGCUCACUGGCCCGAUACUGACGCUGAUGCACGAAAGCGUGGGGAGCAAACAGG
rnacentral:rRNA from 1 species